GUUAAUGUGUGGAAACUAUAUUAAAUUAAAUUAAAGAGAGGUUAUUAUUAUUUUAUCCUAAUACAAAUUAGUUGCGGCUGAAACUAUCGUGAGAGAGAACUCAACUUUGAUGCCGACAAAAUUGAUAAAAAAAAAUUUCAGAUGACGUUGAUCGAAAUCCUAACGAAAGGGGAAGAUUCAAGCGUCACAGUGAUUGUUCGAUGAUUUAAGGUUAUUAGCGUUGACCUUUGUGAAAUUUUCCCUUCUCCUUGUCUGAGGCUUCUUAUGGAGAUUUGUGAGGUAGUUGCUUGUCAUUUCAGCGGACCUUCUUACUCAUAUUUAUGCUCUUGUUCUACUCUAGAAACAAUGUCAUAUGAGACUUACAUUUUUCUUUUGAUUCAGUUGUAAUACUUUAGAGGCUUGUACACGUGACAACCAGGUUUUGGGGAUUUAAUUAAGUUGACCUUGUUUUUCGCA